GCUGCACCAUGCUCUUCACAGCAUGCCUCUCCUGCACAUGCGUCCACUUCAUCUUCUGCUGCUUGUUCACCAGCUCAUUCCGAAGACACAAGUGGCGAGGACAUGGUAACUUUGUGGCCAGGGGUGGCCAUAACAGUUUGGCAAAAGAGAUUACUAAAUGCCAAAAAAAACAAAUGUUAAAGAAUACACAAACACCCUGCUGCGGAUGAUUCACACACCAGAAUUACUACAGUCAUCUUCCCUCACUGGGAAGAAAAGCAACGCUUUUAAAGAUAUGAGUGCCAAAAAGAAGCUGCCUGGUGUAGAGUUCGCAAUUGAUUAUAUCAAAGAACAGACCCGGUCUCCUGAUGCUAAACCAGUCAAAACGGCCAUCACUCACCUGUUGAACACGGAAAGCAAACGCUUACUGAAGAAGUGUGAUACCACUGAUUAAAGCCUUCCCCUAAUGUUCAAUAUUUCAUCCAAUACAAAGUUAAAUUGUCACUGUUUGUGUAUUGUUUAUUUGUGAAAUAAAUGUUAUAUUUAAAUGUUUAAUUGUUCCUAUUAUCCUUUGUAUAUUUUAUGGCAUAAUGACUUGUAGGUUCUUAUAGAGAGCCUAUAGGUUAAUCUAUAGGUUACAUAGAAAUCCUAUAGGCUAUCGUAUAAGCUCCUAUAGGUUGAUCUAUAGGUUUAGAUAGAAAUCCUAUAGGCUAUCGUAUAAGCUCCUAUAGGUUGAUCUAUAGGUUCUGAUAGAAAUCCUAUAGGUUAUUGUAUAGGUUCUUAUAGGGGCCCUAUAGGUUGUUCUAUAGGUUUUGAUAGAAAUUCUAUGGGUUGGUGUAUAGGUUCUUAUAGAAUUCCUAUAGGUUGGCCUAUGGGUUCUUAUGGGGGCCCU